AGCCGGCGUAUCCGAUUCCAGUAUGGAAAUACAAACAGACAAUGACACGCCCCUACUGAGAGAUAGGAUCUCUGAAAAACAAGCCGAUUUCAACCUCAAAAUGUACGCUUUUAAAUAAACCAAUACUCCUAUCUAAAACACGGAGAUGCUUCUUCAUGAUCUCAACUAACAGAUUCUGCAAAAAAACGAAAAUCACCAAUUUUGAAAAAAAAAAAGCGCUUCUUUCUCAGUUUGCUCAAUAGUUGUGCUGCCGACUUGUGUCCCUGGUUUCCGUGACGGGUCACAUAUUAGCAUAAGACAUUGGAUUGGAUGUAUGAGAGAAGAACCUUCUAGAUUCUUAUAAUAGUAUUGUGUCACAGAGUUAGCAACAUGUAACAUAAAUUACCAAAUAGGAAACGAAAGUUGGAGUCCAUUGAUACCAAACAUGCUACCCAUGUGAUUUUAGUUAACCAUAAUAUGCAACUCUGAAACAUUAAUACCAAAAGAGUUCAAAAGAGAGAAUUAAUACAUAGGCCAACCCUAUAAAAGGAAAACCAUGAGAUAGGAAAAUUGAAUACAUGUUUAUACAUUUUCAAGUGGUUAUAUAUAUAGAACAAUGAUUAAGACAAUGAUUAAGACCAGAGUCAUGAGUCUCUGCAAAUUCUUUCUAACUGUAAAAAGUUCUUAUCAGUUUUCCUGUGCCCUGUAACAGGACACCUAGUUAUGCCUGUGUGUUAGCUUCGUUUGGGAUUCUAGUAGCAGUUUUGGGGGAUGGGUUCACAGAACUUUGUAGGGAGAGUUUCCUGGAUUAUUCAUUAAAUAUAAUGAAUAAUUGUGUGUCUGAUUGGUCCAGACGCUACAAGGUCAUCAUGUUGAAAGGCAGAGAGAGUCACCUUGUUAGCCUGAUAAUGAGUAGAACAACUGGAGCAUGACACUAAACGCAUAAUCCCAUUCACUCUUGAACUCAGCAUGUGUGGGACACUGUGCAUCUUUAUAUUCUGUAGAUGUGUGUUAUAUGUGGAAUUCAUGUACAGCAUACAAAAGCAUGUUUUUUUUUUCUCUCUUUUACGUUUCAGUUUAUGGAGCAAAGUUUAAAUUUUUUCUUCUCUUUUAAAAUUCCCAUUAGGGUCCACCUGGCCCAAAAGGUGACAAGGUAAGAACCCUUUCAACAAUUUUUACAUCAACAAAUCACAUUUUUCAUAGCUUCACAAAUAUUUAACAUUCCAUAAUAUAAGUUUCUAUGGUUUCAACGAUGACAGUUUGAAUGUCAGAGCAGAGGGUGUUUUUUUUUUGUUUUUUUUAAAUAAACAUAUAAAUAUAAUGAUAUAAAAGUGGAAACUAAGAACAAAUGGGUGUGAUGUAAUUUUUAACAAAAUCUGGCCAUUUUGCAGGUGCUUUUGAAUUUGAUCUGGUGGUUUGACUCACUAGUGCAAACUGUUAGGCAACUUCAUACCAGCUGUUAAACACAAACUGCCAUUGGUCAGCGAUGAUGAUAUAAUAGAAAAUAUAUUUUCCAGUUUUAUUUCUUCACUGAAUUCAUCAUUUAGCUGGCUAACACAUGAUUGAAGAAUGAAGUGAAGAAGAGUGAAGAAUUUUUGAUUUGAGUAUACUGGAAUCAUUCUCAGCAAUUACCACCACUGUUAAAAUAGAGAAUAUAACACAAAUAGCACAAUGUCUUCUUCUCUGAUUCCAGCUGUAAGCAUUCUGGUCAAAUAUCAAAUGAUUUCUUCACUUUGUUCAUAAUUAGAUUUCAGAAUAAUUAUGAAUGGAUUUCAUUGGAGCUCUGCAGUCAGUCACUGCAUAUGGAAUGUCCCUGACCUCAAGGCUCAUUUUGGAAUAACUAAUCCACAGUGCAUUUAAUUAAUGCUUUCCCAGCAGGCCCUAAGCUCAGGUUUUUUAAUGCUUCACGGAACUCUCUAUAAAACAGAUGCCAAUGUUGAAAAACUAGUGAAUUGUGUCUUUACUAGUCCCUACAAGCAGUGACCAACCUUUAUCCUGUGCUGAAAGAUUAAAACCAAACAAGUGUUGGAGGUUCCUCACAUAUAAUGGAAAGAUGCUGUCAUUGCUUUGGUCAAGAUGGAGCUGCAAAUGUUUUUGGUAACACUUUACAAUAAGGUUUCAUUAGUUAACAUUAGUUAAUGUAUUACAGUUUUUCUCAGUUGAUUUGACACAUUUCUCCAAACUCGGAUCACUGUUCUCAAAACAGUUACCACAGUGAUCUGAACACUUUGUAAUUCUGCUAAACAGAUACAAAACUACAUUUUUAUUCAUUUUACACACAUUGCAAAUCACAUGAAUCAUUUUCUCAAAACACUGUGUACAAAGUUUUCAAAUGUUUUCAGGAAAAAAAACGAUUACAGCUUUUUUAUUGGUUUUACACAAUUCUCAAACAUUUAUGUACCAUUUGUCCAAACACAAUAAACAAAACUCUGGAAUUUGUCAUAUUAUCAAAUGUACUUGGUAUGUUUUAAAUUGGCCCCAAAAUGAUAACUGCUUGGUUAAUAAUACACUACACACAACACAGGGAAUUCAGUUUUCCUAUCGGUUCACACAUUUAUCACAAUUGCAUAAUGUAACAGGGAAAGUAUGAAAGGGAAAGUAUACAUAAAGCAAGAAAAGAAUAAGAGUAUGCAAGAGAAGGGGGAAAUAAAGAGGUGUAAGUGUAAAGUGGUGGUUUGGGUAGAGGAAGGGGUGUAAUUAGAAGGAAAGGAAGAGUGGAACAGAUAGAGGGAGAUCAUAUGAGGAGAGUGGAGGAUGUAAAAAAGGAAGAGAGGGAAAGAGAUGGGUGGAGGGCAUUGGUGUAAUGGAAAGAGCAGGGUAUACACCCCUAAUUAUUAAUCUUUGUUAAUGUUAAUAAAAAUACAGUCAUUCAUUGUCUGUUUGUUAAACAAAUGUUAACAAACACAACUUUUGAUUUUAAUAAUGUAUUGGUAAAUGUUGAAAUUAACAUUAAUUUAGAUUAAUUAAAGGAAUCUGCCUUAUAGAUUAGGGUGUGGUUUCAAGCUCUUGAGUUCGUCUCUGGGUCAUGUCCUUCCAUUCUGGAAUUGUGAAGGUGCUUCCUCAUUGAGGCAUGAUGGUUGGGCAGUAGCCGUAGGGAGAAGUGUCACAGACAGCUAGACUGGUGUGUACAAAUAAGGGAGUUUACUUCUAGUACAUCAGACUUAAAUUUUCCUGCCUAAAUUUAAAGAUCAGUAAGACAGAUAUGAGGACAAAAAGGAGAGCAACAGGGAAUAAGAUGAUAGAGAUCAGAAAGAGACUAAGUAGAGCAACAGGUAGGAGGAGGAUACAGAUCAAAAGGGGACAGAGAUAUGUAGUAUAUAUAAUGAGCUGCAUUUGUAGGUGUUAUUAUAGCAGAAUUCUUAACACACAGUUUUCAAACCAUGGUUACGACCAUGGCUAAGUGUAUCCUCUUUUGAAUGUACACUGUAAAAAAAAAGAUUUUUUGAACUUGUAAAUAAAGAUAGCAUAAUUUAAGUACAUUUUGCAAGCAAAUACUAUUUUGUCUUUUUACUUAAAAACGUCACGUUUAGUUCAAUAAGCUACUUGAGGUUUCGUUUUCAUUUAUUGUGCUUAAAUACAUAAGUACAUUCAAAUGGAACUGCCCAAGUAAUAUUUACUUAGUGUUCAUCUAAUGAACUAAUGCAAAAAAAUAACAAACGCAAGUAAAAGUUACUCCACAAAGCCAGGCAAUCUAUGCGCAUGCGCUCUUGGUCCCUGAAGUGGCGCGCAGCAGAGGCAGAGGAAAGCAACGGAAAAUUUUCUCGACGACUGAUGUGACUUUUACACAAUUGCACUCAAGGUCAUGCAAGACUCCAGAUCCAGCAGUUCCCAAGACACUGUUCUGCUAUCUUCGUCUGAGAGUUCCACAUCAUGCCGUUCUCAAGGAUGGCCAGCAAAGUUUAAAAUACCAACUUUCUCAUUUGAUACAGAGCUCUUGAUUUCAGAAGGAAACAAAGCCUACCAAAAGGAUGGCACCCUCUUGAACAAUCCAAGAGUAACAAGAAGUGUCCUUGAGACACUAGAGGGACAAUAUUUCGUUUCACGGCGUACCCAACAGGUGUCCAGAUUAUGAACGUAGUAGAGUUGUUGAUUGAAAAGUACCCACGCCUCAAAGAGCCAGGGUCCUUUAAUGGACAGUAUGGUUGGCAACAGAGGAUUAAAUAUAAGAUGGGCAAUUAUCGAGCAAAAUUAAGAGGCAGUCAACUUUCCUGCCCAGAGCUGGAGGUCAACUCUUUGAAAAGAAAGAAGACAAAUGAAAAGUCUUGCCCCAAAGGCAUGAAAACGCCCCAGGAAGGCUGAAGUAAAUUACUUGCCCCCAUUUCCAUUUGAGGAAACUGAGGAAACUUUAGAGAAGGAGAGAGUUGAUCUUCUUAAAGAAAUUCAGAAGAAAAACAACAAAAAGGUCAUCGGUGAGAAAAUGGAGAAGACUUCUCCUAUCGAAGAUUAGAAAUCAUUAAUCACUGCCCUGCUGUCAAAGAGGUGGACAGCUCUUUUUUGUGAAUCUGAGAUCAAGAAUGAGUUCAGAAGGAUAACCACAGUUCCCCUGGAGCCAACCUUUCUGCAAAAACUGGACCUCUACGCUCCAAAGCUCCUGGAUUUGUUUAAAAAGAAGGGUGGGGAUGCAGGCAUAAAAAUUAGAAGUGUGCUAGAUUCACUCUGCCAGCAAGUUAAGAUAAGAUAAGCGAGAUGCUGUGAUUCGCUGCCUGCUUUCCUACCUGGGAGAAUCAUCUGAGGAGCUCAUUGAAGACUACCAGAUGUCAGCAGAGACAUGAUUAAAGAUGGCUUCACCAAUCAUGUAAUGAAGAUCAUUGUACUGGGCAGCACUGCAGGAGAGGAAGAUGCCAACAUAGCUGACAUCAUCAUCGUCAUUGAGGGAACUGAGGUACUGUCAGGAUGUAAGAACCUCACAAAUGCGUGCCUUAUGCUCAUGGGCUUCAUUUACUCCCUGAACUUAAGCUAUCCUUCAAAGCAGAGAAACACAUUUGAAGUGUUUCAGAAAAUCUUUCUUGGGCUGGAUGCUUUAAAAUUUUCUCCAAAAGUUAGCUUUUUGCAUAGAAAGCUACUAAUAUAAGUCUUGGCCAUUUUGUUUGGUACUCGCACUUUUUGCUCAAUUGUUCCUCAAGUGAGAAUGUCCUCAAAAGUUUUGUUAAUGUAAAUAUGAGCAAAGUUUGUACUGUACUUUGUACAUUUUUGUCCAUUUGUUUUUUCAUUCCCUUUGUUUAUUAUGUGUUUCAAGAGUUUAACUGAAAUAAAAGUACUCAAGGAAAAUGUCUGUUAGUGUUUAUUUUUUUUUAUUUUUUUUUAAUUUAGAAAUACAUCACAAAUUAUAUUAAGUAAUGUUUAAAUAAUAUUUAAAGUAAAGGUUAAUCAGGAUGACUAAGAAAGAUAACUAGGACUCUUAAGUAAAAUAAAUGCAAUAAAUCAUAAUAUAUUUAUAAGCAUUACUUAAAUAAGAUUUACAAACAAAGUAAUCAAUAAUAUUUACUGGGAAUUCCCAAGUAAACUUAACUUAAAAAUUUCUAAUUAGCGCUACUAAUAAUUAUAUUUAGGCUUUUACUUGCCAAAUGUUUGUACAUUUACUAGCUUUUUCUGAGUGAAAAUUAUUUCCAAGCUUUUUUCAAGUAAAUGCUACUCCAAAAAUUUUUUCAGUGUACUUGGAAUCCAGGCAAUUAUACAAAUUGUGCUAUAAUUGUGCUACAAUGAGAUUGUUCCUCUCUCUGGAAAUCCAGGCUUGCAUCAUAUGUUAUUCAAGAAGUGAAAAACUUAGAGUUUCAAAAUUGGAUCCACUCGUUUAGAGAUUCAGGGCUCUCUACACCCCAGUACCCUAGUGAAAAAAAAGUAUACUUUAUUGUAUUUUAAAUAUAUUCCCUUUUUCUAUAGUACACUGCAAAUAUACUAACAAAAAAUGUACUAUCAUUAAAUAUAUAA